GAUGAACGCUGGCGGCGUGCCUAAUACAUGCAAGUCGAACGCUGAAGCGAGGAGCUUGCUCUUCUUGGAUGAGCGGCGAACGGGUGAGUAACGCGUAGGUAACCUGCCUUUUAGCGGGGGAUAACUAUUGGAAACGAUAGCUAAUACCGCAUAACAAUGCAUAACACAUGUCAUUUAUUUGAAAGGGGCAAUUGCUGCACUACAAGAUCGACCUGCGUUGAUUUAGCUAGUAGGUGAGGUAAUGGCACACCAAGGCGACGAUACAUAGCCGACCUGAGAGGGUGACCGGCCACCUGGGACUUGAGAACGGGCCAGGACCCCUACGGGAGGAAGCAGUGGGGAAUUUUGGAAAAUGGGCGAAAGCCUGACGAAGCAAGCCCGGGUGGUUGAGGAAGGUCUUCGGUUGUUAAGGUCCGUUUGUUGUGAAAGAAGAGUGUGAGAGUGAAAAGUUCACACUGUGACGGUACCUAAACAGAAAGAGACGGCUAACUACGUG
rnacentral:rRNA from 1 species